GGCGUGUACUGCUUGGCUGGGCCUUACUUCUUGGUGAGCCGGCGUGCCCUUUAUUGGUGUGCGUCGGGGAACCAGGACUUUUACCUUGAGAAAAUUAGAGUGUUCAAAGCAGGCCUAUGCCUGAAUACAUUAGCAUGGAAUAAUAGAAUAGGACGUGCGGUUCUAUUUUGUUGGUUUCUAGAGUCGCAGUAAUGAUUAAUAGGGACAGUUGGGGGCAUUGGUAUUGAGUCGCUAGAGGUGAAAUUCUUGGAUUGACUCAAGACCGACUAUUGCGAAAGCAUUUGCCAAGGAUGUUUUCAUUAAUCAAGAACGAAGGUUAGGGGAUCGAAAACGAUCAGAUACCGUUGUAGUCUUAACAGUAAACUAUGCCGACUAGGGAUCGGAUGACCUCAAAAUUGAUGUGUCAUUCGGCACCUUACGAGAAAUCAAAGUCUUUGGGUUCUGGGGGAGAGUAUGGUCGCAAGGCUGAAACUUAAAGGAAUUGACGGAAGGGCACCACCAGGUGUGGAGCCUGCGGCUUAAUUUGACUCAACACGGGGAAACUCACCAGGUCCAGACAUAACUAGGAUUGACAGAUUGAUAGCUCUUUCAUGAUUUUAUGGGUGGUGGUGCAUGGCCCGUUCUUAGUUGGUGGAGUGAUUUGUCUGGUUAAUUCCGAUAACGAACGAGACCUUAACCUGCUAAAUAGCCAGGCCGGCUUCGGCUGGUCUCUGGCUUCUUAGAGGGACUGUCAG
rnacentral:rRNA from 1 species